GGCUCACCAAGGGCUGCCAGUUCGCAGAAGUCCCUCACCUUUGUUCCACACCUGCUGACUUUCUAAACUGCUGUCCUCUGGACUGUGCUAGGUACACAUGACAGCACCUUGGCAGCCAUGUCUUUCAGAGCCCCGUUAUGCAAUGCCAUGGCCCUAGAAGCAGAAGGAACCAUCAAAGAACCAGGCUAAAGGACUUUGGGACCAACAGGCAUUCAGGAAUGCACCUGGCCAGGAGCUAAGGGGCCACCAGCUGACAAGAGUUGCCACCAGACACGCCAGGUAGAAGAUGUCAGCUGGCAAUGGCCAUGCCAGCCUAAGCUACCUCUGUGGAGUGAACAAUGUAGCCCAGAAGAGCCAGCACAGAUCCCUCCCACCUAUCAGCCCUGUCUUCCCCCAUCUUGAUGCAUGUCCCAGUAUGAUUCUCAGUGGCCAUUGGAAUAUUGCAGCUGCAAGCAAAGGUGACUUCAGCUGGGGGAUUUGUCACACGCGUCCGUGUGAAGAGACCACCAAACAGGCUUUAUGUGAGCAAUAAAG
rnacentral:lncRNA from 10 species